rnacentral:rRNA from 1 species
UACGUAGGGUGCAAGCGUUGUCCGGAAUUAUUGGGCGUAAAGAGCUCGUAGGCGGUCUGUCGCGUCGGCUGUGAAAUCCCGAGGCUCAACCUCGGGUCUGCAGUCGAUACGGGCAAACUAGAGUAUUGCAGGGGAGACUGGAAUUCCUGGUGUAGCGGUGAAAUGCGCAGAUAUCAGGAGGAACACCGGUGGCGAAGGCGGCUCUCUAGUACGGUACUGACGCUGAGACGCGAAAGCGUGGGGAGCGAACAGG